rnacentral:rRNA from 1 species
UACGGGGGGAGCAAGCGUUGUUCGGAUUUACUGGGCGUAAAGGGCGCGUAGGCGGCCAGCACAAGUCAGUUGUGAAAUCUCCGAGCUUAACUCGGAACGGUCAACUGAUACUGUGCGGCUAGAGUGCAGAAGGGGCAACUGGAAUUCUUGGUGUAGCGGUGAAAUGCGUAGAUAUCAAGAGGAACACCAAUGGCGAAGGCAGCUCGCUGGGACGGUACUGACGCUGAGACGCGAAAGCGUGGGGAGCAAACAGG